CUCGAGUCCAGGCACAGCAGCUUCCCCUUCACCUCCAGCUCCGCCCGCUCGACCGAGCGCAGCAGCGGCAGCUCGAUGGUGACCACCAGCUCGUGCGGCACGGUGCUCGGGGCCGCGUCGCGCGAGCAGCGGGUCUUGGCGUUCCUGCGGUCCAGCCUGACGCCGAACUGCUGCUCCACCGCCUCCAGGGCCGUGGCGUCCAGCAUUUCGCGGAAGCGCUCGUGGCUCCGGGCCAGCGCCAGCGCUUCGGGGUGGAAGACCACGUCGUAGACGGUGUAGCGGGCGCCGUUGCGGCCG
rnacentral:lncRNA from 1 species